GACGUAGGGCGCGAGCGUUGUCCGGAUUUAUUGGGCGUAAAGAGCUCGUAGGCGGCUUGUCGCGUCGACUGUGAAAACCCGUGGCUCAACUGCGGGCCUGCAGCCGAUACGGGCAGGCUAGAGUUCGGUAGGGGAGACUGGAAUUCCUGGUGUAGCGGUGAAAUGCGCAGAUAUCAGGAAGAACACCCGUGGCGAAGGCGGCUCUCUGGGACGUGACUGACGCUGAGACGCGAAAGCGUGGGGAGCGAACAGG
rnacentral:rRNA from 1 species